rnacentral:lncRNA from 1 species
CUUGCUCUCACGUUGGCUGGCCAAACAGAUGUGGGAGAAGAUGAUCACAUCCAGUUCAUUUUUAAACUCACUGAUGAAUGCUCAUUCUACAUCAAAGUCCUGCCAUUCUACGUCAACGUUUGUUUCAAUUCCAUUGAUUGAGAAGUGUAUCUGUUGGACCUCUUGGACAUGCUUUACCCAGACCACUACAAUGUCUCUACAGCAGCGGCUGAUUGGCCUACGAGACCGGACAGUACGCCACCUUGUUCAUCCCCACACACACAGCGUUUGGCCUUCAGUUUUCAGAUGAGGCUGGGGGGGGGGAUCUGGGUGGAGGAAAGGAGUGUGCUGGCGGUGCUGUCAGAGGAAGCAGAGGAGUUGCUACAGCUGAGACUGGGAUCUGGACUACUCACCUUCAUCAGUACCUGGAGCCGACGCUACUCACUACCAACAGAUACACGUGCACAUGUACACACACAGUCACGUCCUCAUCCUCACCGCCAGGAGCUACGGCUGAUGAUGUUGAAAGACAUGUCAUUAGAAUGGUUGACGUGACAAAUAUGUCUCCUUACAAUGUUAUGAAAAUCCAUAGAGCGUAUCAUUUAUUUUGCCCUUAAGAAAAAGCUCAAUGACUAUUUCCACACGUAGACACUGUGGUUCAUAGGCACGAUGUCCUCUACAGUGGAGUGGCUCUAUACCAGUUGCCUACUGAUCCACCACAUCUCUCUCUGUGUGUCCUCUUCCUCUGGGCAGGUUUCAAGCAGUGGGAUGGAGAGUGGCACUGGCUGGCCCUGUCUGUCUCUCUGUCCAGACUGGAGGUGUAUGCUGACUGCUGCCUGCCAGACUGUAGACCCUGGAGGUCUCCACCCAGGGUCUCAUUCUGCUGGGUGGGGUCAUCCAGCCCUACCACAAACCCUUUACCGUAAGCCCACUGCUUUUCUGACCCCUGUGCUACGUUCCUCACAUCGGCCCCAGUCUUCCUCCCACCCCGGGGAAAAGAGGGAUUCACCAGGGAGGAAGGUCAAGUUUCAUGUUUGUAUUAGUCGUGACUACACCGUCCAAUGAAACACUUACUUGCAGGUUCUUUCUCAACAAUGCAACAACAAUAAGAAAUAAGAAAAGAUAAGAAAAAAAAUAAAGUAAUUGUCUUAGUAGAACAGAAUAAACAUUUGAGC